CCUACGGGGGGCUGCAGUGGGGAAUAUUGGACAAUGGGCGAAAGCCUGAUCCAGCCAUGCCGCGUGUGUGAAGAAGGCCUUCGGGUUGUAAAGCACUUUCAGUGGGGAAGAAAGCCUUGGGGCUAAUACCCUCGAGGAAGGACAUCACCCACAGAAGAAGCACCGGCUAACUCCGUGCCAGCAGCCGCGGUAAUACGGAGGGUGCGAGCGUUAACCGGAAUUACUGGGCGUAAAGCGCGCGUAGGCGGUCUGAUAAGCCGGUUGUGAAAGCCCCGGGCUCAACCUGGGAACGGCAUCCGGAACUGUCAGGCUAGAGUGCAGGAGAGGAAGGUAGAAUUCCCGGUGUAGCGGUGAAAUGCGUAGAGAUCGGGAGGAAUACCAGUGGCGAAGGCGGCCUUCUGGACUGACACUGACGCUGAGGUGCGAAAGCGUGGGUAGCAAACAGGAUUAGAUACCCGUGUAGUC
rnacentral:rRNA from 1 species